CGCGGUAAUACGUAGGGGGCAAGCGUUAUCCGGAAUUACUGGGUGUAAAGGGUGCGUAGGCGGUAAUGUAAGUCAGGUGUGAAAGCCCGAAGCUCAACUUCGGGACUGCACUUGAAACUACAUAACUAGAGUACAGGAGAGGUGAGUGGAAUUCCUAGUGUAGCGGUGAAAUGCGUAGAUAUUAGGAGGAACACCAGUGGCGAAGGCGACUCACUGGACUGUAACUGACGCUGAGGCACGAAAGCGUGGGGAGCGAACAGGAUUAGAUACCCUGGUAGUCCACGCCGUAAACGAUGUUCACUCGCUGUUUGCGAUACACAGCAAGCGGCCAAGCGAAAGCAUUAAGUGAACCACCUGGGGAGUACGAUCGCAAGGUUGAAACUCAAAGGAAUUGACGGGGGCCCGCACAAGCGGAGGAACAUGUGGUUUAAUUCGAUGAUACGCGAGGAACCUUACCUGGGCUUAAAUGUAGAACGACAGAUUGUGAAAGCAGUCCUUCUUCGGACGUUUUACAAGGUGCUGCAUGGUUGUCGUCAGCUCGUGCCGUGAGGUGUCGGGUUAAGUCCCAUAACGAGCGCAACCCUUAUCGUUAGUUGCCAGCGGGUCAAGCCGGGGACUCUAGCGAGACUGCCACCGUAAGGUGUGAGGAAGGUGGGGAUGACGUCAAAUCAGCACGGCCCUUAUGUCCAGGGCUACACACGUGUUACAAUGGCCGAUACAAAGGGCAGCUACUUCGUGAGAAGAUGCUAAUCUCCAAAGUCGGUCUCAGUUCGGAUCGAAGUCUGCAACCCGACUUCGUGAAGCUGGAUUCGCUAGUAAUCGCAUAUCAGCCAUGAUGCGGUGAAUACGUUCCCGGGCCUUGUACACACCGCCCGUCAAACAAUGGAAGCUGGGGGUACCUGAAGUC
rnacentral:rRNA from 1 species